UAAUCCUCCCUUUUGCU
rnacentral:tRNA from 1 species